UACAGAGGUGGCAAGCGUUGUUCGGAAUUACUGGGCGUAAAGGGCGCGUAGGCGGUUCGUUAAGUCCUGUGUGAAAUCCCCCGGCUCAACUGGGGAACUGCACAGGAAACUAGCGGGCUUGAGUUCGGGAGAGGGAAGCGGAAUUCCGGGUGUAGCGGUGAAAUGCGUAGAUAUCUGGAGGAACACCGGUGGCGAAGGCGGCAUUCUGGACCGAUAUUGACGCUGAUGAGCGAAAGCCAGGGGAGCAAACGGG
rnacentral:rRNA from 1 species